ACGCUGGCGGCGUGCUUAACACAUGCAAGUCGAACGAUGAAGCCUAGCUUGCUAGGUGGAUUAGUGGCGAACGGGUGAGUAAUACGUGAGUAACCUACCUUUAACUCUGGGAUAAGCCUGGGAAACUGGGUCUAAUACCGGAUACGACCAAUCUCCGCAUGGGGUGUUGGUGGAAAGCGUUAUGUAGUGGUUAUAGAUGGGCUCACGGCCUAUCAGCCUGUUGGUGAGGUAACGGCUCACCAAGGCGACGACGGGUAGCCGGCCUGAGAGGGUGACCGGCCACACUGGGACUGAGACACGGCCCAGACUCCUACGGGAGGCAGCAGUGGGGAAUAUUGCACAAUGGGCGCAAGCCUGAUGCAGCGACGCCGCGUGAGGGAUGACGGCCUUCGGGUUGUAAACCUCUGUUAGCAGGGAAGAAGAGAAAUUGACGGUACCUGCAGAGAAAGCGCCGGCUAACUACGUGCCAGCAGCCGCGGUAAUACGUAGGGCGCGAGCGUUGUCCGGAAUUAUUGGGCGUAAAGAGCUUGUAGGCGGUUUGUCGCGUCUGCUGUGAAAGGCCGGGGCUUAACCCCGUGUAUUGCAGUGGGUACGGGCAGACUAGAGUGCAGUAGGGGAGACUGGAACUCCUGGUGUAGCGGUGGAAUGCGCAGAUAUCAGGAAGAACACCGAUGGCGAAGGCAGGUCUCUGGGCUGUAACUGACGCUGAGAAGCGAAAGCAUGGGGAGCGAACAGGAUUAGAUACCCUGGUAGUCCAUGCCGUAAACGUUGGGCACUAGGUGUGGGGGACAUUCCACGUUUUCCGCGCCGUAGCUAACGCAUUAAGUGCCCCGCCUGGGGAGUACGGCCGCAAGGCUAAAACUCAAAGAAAUUGACGGGGGCCCGCACAAGCGGCGGAGCAUGCGGAUUAAUUCGAUGCAACGCGAAGAA
rnacentral:rRNA from 1 species